rnacentral:rRNA from 1 species
CUUUGGAGGAAAGGUAGGGGAUCGCAAGACCUUGCGCUUUUGGAGCGGCCGAUGUCUGAUUAGCUAGUUGGUGAGGUAAAGGCUUACCAAGGCUUCGAUCAGUAGCUGGUCUGAGAGGACGACCAGCCACACUGGGACUGAGACACGGCCCAGACUCCUACGGGAGGCAGCAGUGGGGAAUUUUGGACAAUGGGGGAAACCCUGAUCCAGCCAUGCCGCGUGAGUGAAGAAGGCCUUCGGGUUGUAAAGCUCUUUCAGCCGGAACGAAAAGGUUACGGUUAAUACCUGUGACUAAUGACGGUACCGGAAGAAGAAGCACCGGCUAACUACGUGCCAGCAGCCGCGGUAAUACGUAGGGUGCGAGCGUUAAUCGGAAUUACUGGGCGUAAAGCGUGCUGCAGGCGGUAGCAAGUCAGAUGGAAUGACACCCUCAAGCAUAGGG